rnacentral:tRNA from 1 species
AGUAGCUCAGUAGGAUAGAGCGACAGCCUCCUAAGCUGUAGGUCGUUGGUUCGAUUCCAAUCU